UACGUAGGGGGCAAGCGUUGUCCGGAUUUAUUGGGCGUAAAGAGCGUGUAGGCGGCCACACAGGUCUGCUGUGAAAACUCGAGGCUCAACCUCGAGCUGUCGGUGGAAACCGUGUGGCUAGAGUCCGGAAGAGGAGAGUGGAAUUCCCGGUGUAGCGGUGAAAUGCGCAGAUAUCGGGAAGAACACCCGUGGCGAAGGCGGGUCUCUGGGAAGUAACUGACGCUGAGAAGCGAAAGCAUGGGUAGAAAACAGG
rnacentral:rRNA from 1 species